rnacentral:misc_RNA from 1 species
GAUGAAGAACGUAGCGAAAUGCGAUAAGUAAUGUGAACUGCAGAAUUCAGUGAAUCAUCGAAUCUUUGAACGCACAUUGCGCCCGCCAGUAUUCUGGCGAGCAUGCCUGUUCGAGCGUCAUUUCAACCAUCAAGCCCCAGGCUUGUGUUGGAGCCCUGCGGCUGCCGCAGCCUCCCAAAACCAGUGGCGGGCUCGCUAUCACACCGAGUGCAGUAGUUUACUCUUCGCUCAGGGCGUGUGGCGGGUGCUAGCCGUGAAACCCCCAACUUCUCAAGGUUGACCUCGGAUCAGGUAGGAAUACCCGCUGAACUUAAGCAUAUCAAUAAGCGGAGGA